UAUAAAAAUUUAUUAAAAUAUGGUAAAUAAUUAUUUAAAUAUAAUAAAUUUUAUCGCAACGAGGAUGCGCUGGGGGAUGUGGUUGAAGCAAGUCUUCGACAAAAUGAAAAGUGCAUACUGAGUCUACCGAAGCUGGUCAUAAUUGUUAUGCGACAUUUCUUUGCCUUUUUCAAUAAUUUCUUGGAAUUCUCGAAGAAGAACAUGAUGAAUCCAUACAACUUGGCAGUCUGCUUCAAUUCAAUAUUGAUGCCUGUUUCCGAGGACAAGAAUCAGGUUCAAGAGUAAUUAUGACGCUCUGCGAAAUUUUUUCGGAGGAUAUCGGUGCUGGUCAAUAAAAAAAUACAUCAGCAGGGAAUCUAACGAUGUGAACGUAGGACACUCGCCAACGGAUUAGGUACAGGAAAACAUGAAUUCAGAGGUCUAUCCAUCCAAGACGAUAAUGCAUUUCUCGAAUCAGCACAUUGUACUCGAAUCGUAAUUAACAAACUUAUAAGCUGUACUGUAAUAUCACGAGGAAAUUUAUUGGCUUAAUUGCACCAAGCUACAACAAACACACACACACACAAAACACACACACAUACACACACACACACGCACACACAAAGGAAGAGAGUGUGCAUGUAUGUAUGUUUCUAAGUAAUCACCAUACUUAUCACUUUAAGUUAGUUCAGUCUAGGCAAUUUUUUUAUUCUGAUGUAAACUACAUAACUUGCACAUGCAAUUACAUGAUUUCAUCUUUUCUCUCCAUUUUCGUUAAACUUCUUAACAGCUAAAAAUAUUUUCUUAGAAAUAAAAAUAAAAAUCUUGGUAAAAAUAAAUUUUUUAGUUAAACAACUGCUGCUUAUGUGACUUCUAUGAUAUGCAAUCUACCCAGUAAGCAGAUGUCACAUGUCAGCAUUCUUUAUCUUUUGUUCCAAAUUGCAUAUUCAAAUUUUUUCAAUGUUUGAAAUAUACUAUGAAACAUCUAAAAAGUUUGAUGACAAAAAAUGAGAUUACUGAUUGGAGUGCACAAACUAAUCUGAUGAUGUAAAAGUUAAAAAAUUUGUGUCUAGGCCACAAACAUAUCUUGACAAGAAUGCUGAUUACGUAGAAAAUAAUUAAAUAUGUAUACUAAGAAUAUUUUUACUCAAUUUUGUAAUAUUCUGUUUUG